AAAUAGUUUUAUAACAGUUUGGCACAAAUAUAUUAAAUUACGUAUCGUGUAUUAUGUAUAGGUGGUGAGCCCUCUAAUAAGGGUAAAGAUAUCGUACCCGAGGACUAAGAAUAGAGUACUCCAAACUCCUGCUAUUGUGAGUAAUCAGACGAUCAUCUUAACUAUCUAAAGUAAUUUAUAAUUGUUUUUAUAAUUUUAAAGAAAAAUGAACUUAUAUUGUAAAUUAUUAUGUUUUAAACUUAAAGUGUUGGUUAAAUGAAUGAGAUUUAUAAAUUGUUUUGCAAUUCAAUGAUGAUUUUGGAAAUUGAGUAAGUGGAGACUAUAUACUUGUUUUAUAUAUAUGUUUUGACAUAUGGUUUGAAUUGAUGGCUUAUGACAAUGUGAUGGCAUGAAUGGAUGGAUUUGUAGUUUAUGGAUUAUAUAAACUGUUUUGUUUUACCUUGACAGGCUAGGUAAUAUUAUAUUAGCCAUGUCAUGCUGUCAAAAUUUUUAUUGAUUUGGUAGGUUAUUUGAUUAGCUUAUUGCAGUGGGUGGGUUUCCGUGGACCAGCCUAUUAGAGGGGCACGGUAAACCCCGUUAUAUUUUACCUUAGUACGAGAGGCACGGAGGGUAUCUCCUAAGGUAAGUUUAGAGUUCACUUCACGCCGAACCACCACGUGAGGAUGAAACUCAGCCAACGCCAAGGAAUGACUAUAUUUUAAAAGUAAAAAC
rnacentral:lncRNA from 1 species